AAAGUACUCCCUCCGUCCCAAAAUUCUUGUCUUAGAUUUGUCUAGAUACGGAUGUAUCAAGUCACAUUUUAGUAUUAGAUACAUCCAUAUCUAGACAAAUCUAAGACAAGAAAUUUGGGAUAGAGGGAGUAUUUG
rnacentral:pre_miRNA from 1 species